UACGUAGGGUGCAAGCGUUAAUCGGAAUUACUGGGCGUAAAGCGUGCGCAGGCGGUUAUGUAAGACAGGUGUGAAAUCCCAGGGCUUAACCUUGGAACUGCAUUUGUGACUGUAUAGCUAGAGUACGGUAGAGGGGGAUGGAAUUCCGCGUGUAGCAGUGAAAUGCGUAGAUAUGCGGAGGAACACCGAUGGCGAAGGCAAUCCCCUGGACCUGUACUGACGCUCAUGCACGAAAGCGUGGGGAGCAAACAGG
rnacentral:rRNA from 1 species